AUGAGACCCGCUGCUGCUGAUGAUUCUGCAUUUGGAGAGGAGUGGUCCCAGAUUAGGAAAGUCUUCCGUCUGGAUUGGUGGCUGUUCACCAAACCAGCUGUUUCCUCAUCCUUCUUUACAGUCCCAGAGAGGCUGUCAGGUUCUCCCAACAAAAAAGGCCCAACAACAAACGUUUUCCUGGACACAGAAGCCCUUUCUCCUUUAGCUUUGGACCUCCUGCAGGUUAUUUUGGAAUUUAAUUCUUCUGCAACAUUUCUCUCCACUGUUCUAAUUUUACAGAAAUUUACAUCAGGAUCUGUGAAACAAUCAUCCAGGUUUAGCGGGACGUCUCCGACCUCGCCAUCUUGCUCGGAAUGGCGACUGCAGCACAUCUUCCUGGUUACCAAGUUUUAAACUUGAAUCUUCCGGGCCAAUCUUCUCAACGUGACUCUUCCUGGAGUGUGUCAGGUUCUUGACUGGGAUUCCAGCCUCACCUGAGCCAGAGGUUUGUUGUUUGUUCUUGUCUUUUGCCCUGCUGGGGCGACCCUUCUUCCUCACUUUACUUUCCACAGUGACUAUUUCCGUAGCAUCAGACAGAGUCAUCUCCAUUGUUGCAUUCAAGAGCACCGUGUUCUCUGGUUUGCUGUCGUGUUUAGGGCCACCCUCUGCAGAGUGAGCGCUGUUGGUAUCAGAUGGGUCCACCUGUGUGUUUACUGCUGGGGGGCACUGGCUGUCCUGAGGACAGAAAACUGAUUUCAUAUCAGAGCCCGACUCAGGAAGUAAACGCGACAGUCUCUGAACUUCAUCUCUUAGACUGCUGGCUGGAUGCAGAAUUGCUGUGGGGGGAGGUUGCACGCGCUGCACCUCAGCUGCUGUGUUAGCUGUAAAAUACAUUGAAAAGAAAAACUUGCAAUUAAAAUUAACAUUGUGACAACAUUCACUAUUUGCAGAAUCUGUUUCAGUUCAGGCUUUGUUAUUCAUUAUACAAAAACAACAACAUUCAUUUGAACAGGGUGAACAUACACGUCUGUAAUUCAUAUGAUAAUGGUUAGCAACAGACAUGCACAAAUCUCGGUCGAUGUUCAGUACCAUCAGUGUUGACUUUGGGAUUGUCCUUUACGUGAACAGUUGCGCACGUGGUUUCUUUGCGUAGGUCCACCGGAGGCGACGGAUCUAUUUGGCUGAUAACAGGAUAUGGAGGUAGAAAAUAUUUACAGGUGCCUCAGCUAAAAUAACAAAUGAAUUUAUUGCACACUACAGAGAAAGUAGAUUUUUUUACUUACCUUUUGGGUACAAUAUUUUCUUUAUCACUUGACAAAUGUUGGUCGAUCUCAAGCAGUUUAGGAAAAUCCUGUGGGGAAAAUUUGUAAAAGGCACUGCCUUUGUUCAAUAUUUUUAGGUAAGAAAUCUGCAAUUCAAGUACUGAAGACAGCAUUUAAAUAAAAUAUUUCCUUUCUCUUCCUCUCUCUCACUAGGAAAUCCAGUUUAACCAACUGUGAUGACUCACUGUGAAGAUCCUGAGCUGCACAUCUCACUUUUUCCGACUUUUGUCCGAAACCAGGGCUUGAACUAAUACCCUCCGCUUCUCAGCCCUGCCCCCUACUGACUGAGCUACCACCACCCCAUCACUUCACGAUAGUCAUUGUUUUUUUUAAUUUAAUCUUGGUAAAAGACAAGAGUACAUGAAUGAAAACAUGGAGUGCUGAAUAUAUCCAUUUACAAUCUACAGCCAUUUGUGAGAUUUGUCCGAUUCCAAAAGAGCAUGCCUCAACACAUAAUUGAAAUUAAAUCAAUUAUAUGUAUUAAUUGUAUUUCAAAACAGUGUUUGUAUAACAUUUGUCAUUUUCAACAGUGUCCAGAGACAGACUUGCUGUUACCAAUUAGUGAGAGAAAUGCUUACGCCGUCUGGGAAAAGCUCAGCAGCCGCAUUAAAGUGGGGCAGCAUGUCGCUCUGGAGGCUUUUUAAGAUGAGAAGCUGUAAAAGAAAUGCAAAACAAAGACCAGUAUAUGAAUAAUAUAAAUGUUUCCUUUGAGACAGUCUAAGCAUUAAUGUAUGGGCAGUCAGAAACAGUGUAAUUUUUUAAUCCAUUACUAAAAUUUAAUGGUACAGCACAUAUUCACUGUUAAAAUCAUACCUUAACAAAACACUAAUUUUCAAAACACAAUUGACAACUGUUUUAAAUAACUAAUUUUGAGUUUAAGGUUUCAAUAGCUUUCCUCUGAACAUGGAUAUUUUUUUUUCCUGUCUUUACUCCUUUAUUGACAUCAAAUAAACCUUUUUGAGUUGUGAUCUUUAGAAUUUAUUGGGGCCUGACUGUCAAAAUGUACAGAUAUAAUUUUACUUAUUUUGGUCAUGGUUAACAAAUACUGUUUUGUUAGUUCACAUUUGUUAAAAAAAGAAAAGAAUCACAUGAUUAUAACUGUGUAACUUCGAGCCCAUCCAGGAACUAAUGAUUGUCAAACAGUUUCACCUACUGUUUUGCAAAUUUGACAAACAGCAAGUAAAGGCAGCAGAAAUAAGGAGGAUAACUGGUGGCCACAGACCAGUUCUCCCUCCUAAUUACUGAUGGUCUACAGAGGCUGAAAAGACCCCCAAGUCCCAGCCAACAAAGCUACAAAGAGAUUAGCUGGGUAGCAGACAAACAUCAAGACAUCUGUAAACACUGUGAGUGUAAAUUAUGACCACGUAUUAUAGAUUUCACCAUUAUUGACAGUAGCACCUGUAAAUAAGUUUAAAAACUAACCAAUUUUCUCUGCAUGUAUUUCUUGCUGGCCAGCUCAAAGCACAGACUGUCAACUUGUUUCUGGAGGUACAUGAUCUCCUUCUCCAGCUGCCGACACCUUUCUUUCUGAAGCUCUAGAGCUCGAGCCAAGGCAGUGUUGUUGGUCUUCAAUGAGACCUUAAAGAAAGAUGAAGUAUCUAAUAUGAUCACAGACAGAGAACAUAACGUUAGAAUACAAAAUUUGAAGAAUACAGAAAUGUGUUGAAAUAAAUGGGAAGACAGACUAUGAAUCUUAUUUUUGAUCUUAGAUGCAGCGGAUGCUUGUGUGGAAGCUGGUUUGGGGCCCAUUUUCUUCCCGUGUAUCAUGGCUAGAUGAAGCCACAGCUGUGCAACUGAUGAAACUGGCACCCUGAAAGGACAAUUGUUUUUAUAAAAUACAUAUAAAUACAAUUUAGUUGAAAGUAGUGAUUUUGCACAGGUAUUUUAUAAGAAACCAGAAAAUUAGAGAUCUCUGAGAAAAUCAUUGCCAGUUGUUAUUUAUGGCAUAUUCUUUGGUGAUUUCCAGGUCUACACGACUAGAUAUGUCAGGAUCACAGCGAUUUGGUCAAUUUUGCUUUAGCAAAUACUUUCAUUAUUUCACACUUUAGGAGAUGCAAAAGAUUAUUUAAUUGAAACUCAUAAGGCAAAGCAAUAUCAACUGGUAAAUGAUGCCAUCUUUCUGCCUAUUAAGUGAGAAGCAGAGAGAUAAAAAAAAAUCCUUCUGUUGGUUCCGAAGACAGUUGACUAUCGUUAGCUUGGGAUAGCAGUGACUACCUGUUUCCCCCAGCCGAUAUAAAGCCGCUGUAAAACAAACAAGAUAAUCUACAUUACGGAUGCACAGGCGGACAUUUGCUGUAAUAACCAGGUGAUAUUCCCGUCGAUAACGUUGAUAACCGCUCAGUGUACAAGUUUACAAGCAACAGUCGACCUUUUGAACGGAGGGACUUCCGCGCGGAGGCUGGUCUGAGAGGUUGAGGCCCAAUCAGGGAUGACCCGGACUUCCGUUGUUCUGAUUGGGUUACCUAAGGAAAGGAAUUCUGGGUAUUGUAGUCUGCAUGGCUCAUGAUUUUAAAAAAGAGACGUAUGUAAGUUAAAGAUUGGCGAUUAUUUGAAUAAAUAAUGCUUGGACCGAAUGUCAUUGUUUU
rnacentral:lncRNA from 1 species